AUAAAUUUAUUAAUUUUGAUUGGAAUAUAGAUAGUAUCAAUUAAUAUUAUAUUUAUUUGAAAAUAUUGUGUAUUUUUCCGUAGAUUUUUCAAUUGCAAUUGCAGACGAUAACAGCCACUCAUUGAAUUGAAUUAUUAUGUUUUGUUAUCCUAAAGAGUCAAGUCAAUAUAUCCAAACCAAUUCCUGAGAUUAUUGCUCUUAAGCUUAAACAAAAAAUACAUUUGCUCACUAUUUCUUGAAUUAAUACGUUUGCUCACUCAAUACCUCAAACCCCUCUUGAAUUAAUCUCUCACUAUUUCCCAUUCCUAUUGCCAAAAAAAAAAAAAAAAAAAACCAAAACUCAAAACUAGUGAACGAAAGUUAUCUCAUAUAUAUUAUCUGCACUAUUAAUUUGUUAUCACACUGUUCAUUUCAAAUAUUGGAGUUUCUUCAACAAGUGGUUAUACUUUAGAGUUAGUAGCUACACAUUAAUUUGUUUUCCUUCAUUAAUAUUUUGCAAUUUGUUUUAAUAUUUUGUUGUUUGUUCUUUGCAGAUCAUUUAGUAUUUUUCAUUUCGAAGCCAAUNU
rnacentral:lncRNA from 1 species